CCUACGGGUGGCUGCAGUGAGGAAUAUUGGUCAAUGGGCGCUAGCCUGAACCAGCCAAGUAGCGUGAAGGAUGACUGCCCUAUGGGUUGUAAACUUCUUUUAUAUGGGAAUAAAGUGCAGUAUGUAUACUGCUUUGCAUGUACCUUAUGAAUAAGGAUCGGCUAACUACGUGCCAGCAGCCGCGGUCAUACGUAGGAUCCGAGCAUUAUCCGGAGUGACUGGGUGUAAAGAGUUGCGUAGGUGGCAUAAUAAGUAGCUAGUGAAAUCUGGUGGCUCAACCAUUCAGACUAUUAGCUAAACUGUUAAGCUCGAGACCGUUAGGGGUAACUGGAAUUUCUAGUGUAGGAGUGAAAUCCGUAGAUAUUAGAAGGAACACCAAUAGCGUAGGCAGGUUACUGGGACGGUUCUGACACUAAGGCACGAAAGCGUAGGGAGCAAACGGGAUUAGAUACCCCUGUAGUC
rnacentral:rRNA from 1 species